CUGCGCUUCCGAGUGGCGACUGCAGCGGGUCCGGUGCAGGUGAGGGGCGCGCGCCUGCCCAGCUUUGCAGCCCCCGAACGCGGCCUCGCACAGAUACCCAGACAAAUGGAUUCUAAAAUUUAAAUAGAAGAGCAAAGAAAAUAGGAACCAAUUUGAAGGACUACAAGGUGGAAUGCUUGCUCAGCUCAGUAUCAACACUUACGGAGUCAUUGCAGUUGUUUUCAGUAGAGGUGUACUUCUGAGAAGUGGCUUCUUGGGUCUUCAUGCAGCCAUGGAUCUGGAUAAACCAUCUGUUUGGGGCUCAUUAAAACAGCGGACCAGGCCAUUGUUGAUCAACUUGAGCAAGAAGAAGGUGAAAAAGAACCCAAGUAAGCCCCCAGAUCUAAGGGCAAGGCAUCACUUGGACCGCCGUCUCAGCCUCUCUGUGCCUGAUCUCCUGGAGGCUGAGGCCUUGGCCCCAGAGGGCCGGCCUUACUCCGGGCCACAGUUUUCCUACACCUCGGUGCCCAGCAGUCUGUCCACUGCAGGGAUCUUUCCCAAGAGCAGCAGUAGCUCCUUGAAACAGUCUGAAGAAGAAUUGGAUUGGAGCCAGGAAGAAGCCAGUCACCUCCAUGUGGUGGAAACAGACUCAGAGGAGGCCUAUGCCUCUCCUGCUGAGCAGAGACGGGUGUCCAGCAAUGGCAUCUUUGAUCUUCAGAAAACUUCCCUUGGAGGGGAUGCACCAGAAGAGCCAGAGAAGCUAUGUGGAAGCAGUGACCUGAAUGCUUCUAUGACAUCUCAGCAUUUUGAAGAACAAUCU
rnacentral:sRNA from 1 species